rnacentral:snRNA from 1 species
GUGCUUUGAGAGCACAGACUUAAAAAUUGGAAUAACACAGAGAAUAUCAGUAUGGUCCCUGCACAAAGGUGGCAUGCACAUAUUUUCAAAAAGAAAGAAACCAU